AAGCAGCACUAACCGGGCGAGAGGGUGCAGGAGAGCUCAGUUUUACUUUUGGUUUAGUCGCUAAUGUGUGGGCUCUGGGCUUGGCGCCUCACUACCACGUUUCUUCGCUGAAUAAAGGAGUUGAAUGCCAGGGGGAACAUUGUGGUGGAGAGAAAGUGACCUUCAGAGUCUCCCCACUUCACUUUCAGAGUCUUUCCCUCUGUGAAAAAUGAAUAUCACACGUGUCUUCAGGAUCCACACAACUAUGAGAGCAGAAGACUUCUCCUCAGCUGGAACCAAAGGUAG